rnacentral:lncRNA from 10 species
AGCAGCCACGGCCACAGGCAACUGGACGCAGGGGACCACCCUGAUGGACCCUGGAGCAGAAGCCGGGCCCAUGUGGAAACACCAUGAGGUUUAUCUGAAGUCUGCGUUUCAUGAAUAGCACUGGGUUGGAGGCCACGAGGACCAGCCCUCUGCCACGCACAGAUCUGAGAGCUCGCACUGUCCACAGUCAGAGGUGAGCUUGGGCCGGGCUUUCCUGGUCAUCAGGGUGGUGUCCGUGCACAUCCCCCAGCACAGCUGGGAAGCAGGACCCAAGUGCUCAUCAUGAAUCUGACCUUCGCCCCCACUGCAGCCGUCAUCCCAGGGAACACAGCAGUUACUGUAGCACUCAUCCUCCUAACAGGACCUCCCCCCAGCAGCCCU